GGGGAUAUAGCUCAGUUGGUAGAGCGAUGCGUUCGCAAUGCAUAGGUCAGGAGUUCGAAUCUCCUUAUCUCCA
rnacentral:tRNA from 1 species